AGGCCCAAAGGUACCAUGUCCCAGGCCCUGCUACUGCUCUGGCUCCAUGCGCCGAGGGCUGACUCUAUCCAAGGCAAUACAAUGGGAAGGUGAUAGCAUCUGGAUGCCAAUCAGAGGGGUCUGAGCCCUGAGCCUCUGCGCAUUACCCCAGGGUGGGCUGUACACUUGGCCAAGACCCAGCCUCCCACACGGGGGUGUUCCUGUCUCAGCAGUGGACAUGUGCGUGGAACCUGCUCUGGGACCUUGACCAAGCCCCGUGCCCUCCUCAAACCCCUAAAAAGAGGGACUUCAACUGUAAAAAGAGGAAGUUCAUUUUUUCGUCACAGGGGCCACAUUUCAGUGACGGGCAGCCAUAUGUGGUUCGCAGCUACCGUAACACACCAGGCGGAUCUCGAACGUCUCCACCAUUCCAGAAUGUUUCGGUAGACAGCUCUGCUCUCAGGAAUUGAGCCCACCAAUAAGUGACUGCCGAAGGAAGUAAAUACAAAAAGAGAACUGGCAUCCAGAGAAAUGAGGUCACUUGCUCAAGGUUAUUCACCAAGAGCAAAGCAGAUGCCCAAACUACAGACUUGCUUUGUUCAGAGCUAUUUCCUCUAUGAGCAAUUUAAAAGCUAUGGAACCCACACUCUCCAAGAUUGGAGAGAUGAAGAACAAUUACAAAACGGCACAAAACAACAUGAAAACAAACUAAUCCAAAAUAAUUUCACUCCACCUCCUAAAAGCCAAGGGACAAAGUAGCAGCAAGUGGGCUGUUGUGUAGAAAAUUGUACCUGAAAGGACUUAAUGGCACUUUUUCCUCUGUCACCCAUUUCUUGAAAGCAGAGACAAUAAAAAAUGCACACAA